rnacentral:misc_RNA from 1 species
GAGCAUUCCACCAAACAGUAUUGGCGACUGCGAAACCCUUGCUUAAACACCACCAAAGGCCUUCUUACGUUAAGAGGACCUUCACCAGGAGAUCCACUGCCACCACGAAUACAAGUAUUGACACAUUUGACCGUGCAAGUCUCUGCUUGCCUUGACUUAGGUCUUUGAAUCCUCGCCUUCUUGCAAUUCUUCUGACCAUCAACACAAUCGCCGGAUAACGUUUGCGGUACAUUCGAAAAUGUCUCACCAAGUACCUCCUGUUGCGUUUCAAUCUGCGCCGGCACCGCCAACGCCUCCGCCCCAUUCACCGCUACAAUCACA